rnacentral:rRNA from 1 species
UGGGGAAUUUUGGACAAUGGGGGAAACCCUGAUCCAGCCAUCCCGCGUGUGCGAUGAAGGCCUUCGGGUUGUAAAGCACUUUUGGCAGGAAAGAAACGUCAUGGGUUAAUACCCCGUGAAACUGACGGUACCUGCAGAAUAAGCACCGGCUAACUACGUGCCAGCAGCCGCGGUAAUACGUAGGGUGCAAGCGUUAAUCGGAAUUACUGGGCGUAAAGCGUGCGCAGGCGGUUCGGAAAGAAAGAUGUGAAAUCCCAGAGCUCAACUUUGGAACUGCAUUUUUAACUACCGGGCUAGAGUGUGUCAGAGGGAGGUGGAAUUCCGCGUGUAGCAGAGAAAUGCGUAGAUAUGCGGAGGAACACCGAUGGCGAAGGCAGCCUCCUGGGAUAACACUGACGCUCAUGCACGAAAGCGUGGGGAGCAAACAGG